CUCAGGAAUAAAGAAUAAUAGAAUUUAAUUUUUCUAAUAAAUAUGUAAGAAAACAGAAGGAACUUCGGAACUGAGAUAAAAUUACAGUGAAAGAAUCUCCACAAGCAAGGUAAAAAGGCACCAACUCGAAACACUAUGAAGGUAUGUGUAUUACGGGAAUUAAUAAAUGAUGUCCACACUGAAACGGAGAGAAAGAGUUAUGACAAGUCGAAGAUGCGGAGGGAGAGGAAUUGAACUUCAGUGGAGCUAAUAUUUACCCUGAAAAUACAGAAAGGAGAAGAACGAAAUUUGAACGAAAUCCAUGAUUCACUCUUAAGAAUUUGUAUUUUGAACGUUCCAACGUUGAGAGUUCCUCCUAUUGCAAAAAAGUUAUAAGGGCAGUGUACUUAACAAUGUCUUUUAAAAAUACAAUAUUCUUUUUAUCUUAAUCUAACAUAUUAUACAACUUUACAUUUAACAAUAGAAAUGAAUAAGAACAUGUAUAAUACAUACUAAUAUUAAAUUUAUAAUUAAUUAUUAUUAAUAUUAAAAGUCAUGUAAAAUUAAAUUUUAUGCAAAUUAUUUCAUGUAUGUUGUUAUUAAUUUCAGUUGUUCUUUGGUUGAAUCACAGUUUUGAAGAAAAUAUUUUCCAAGUUUAUAGAAAAAAUUGAAUGUUAGAUGCACUGUUUUACUCACAUCAGUACUCUUCAUUUAAAUAUAUAAAAGAAGCAAAUGAUCUACUCCAACGAUAUAAAAAGAAAAUUUAUGAAGACAUAAAUACACUUGAAACAUUUUUUACAGAAAUUGUUUACCUUAAUAUGUAGUUUCUUAUUAGCUGUUGUUGAAAAUAUUAAUAACAUAAUAUAUUU